AGAGUUUGAUCCUGGCUCAGGAUGAACGCUGGCGGCAUGCCUAAUACAUGCAAGUCGAACGAGGAUCCUUGUGGAUCCUAGUGGCGAACGGGUGAGUAACACGUAGGGAACCUGCCCGCGCACCGGGAAUACGCUCUGGAAACGGAGAACAAAUCCCGAUGUACAGGAAGGAGGCAUCUUCUUUCUGUGAAGCAUCCUUUACAGGAUGGGGCGCGGAUGGACCUGCGGUGCAUUAGUUAGUUGGCGAGGGUAAAGGCCCACCAAGACGAUGAUGCAUAGCCGGCCUGAGAGGGCGGACGGCCACAUUGGGACUGAGACACGGCCCAGACUCCUGCGGGAGGCAGCAGUAGGGAAUUUUCGUCAAUGGGCGCAAGCCUGAACGAGCGAUGCCGCGUGAGUGAAGAAGGCCUUCGGGUCGUAAAGCUCUGUUGCGGGGGAAAAAAGGCAGCUACAGGAAAUGGUAGAUGACAGAUGGUGCCCCGCCAGAAAGUCACGGCUAACUACGUGCCAGCAGCCGCGGUAAUACGUAGGUGGCGAGCGUUAUCCGGAAUGAUUGGGCGUAAAGGGUGCGCAGGCGGUCCUGCAAGUCUGGAGUGAAACGUAUGAGCUCAACUCAUGCAUGGCUCUGGAAACUGGAGGACUGGAGAGCAGGAGAGGGCGGUGGAACUCCAUGUGUAGCGGUAAAAUGCGUAGAUAUAUGGAAAAACACCAGUGGCGAAGGCGGCCGCCUGGCCUG
rnacentral:rRNA from 1 species